rnacentral:rRNA from 1 species
GUAACACGUGGGUAACCUGCCUGUAAGACUGGGAUAACUCCGGGAAACCGGAGCUAAUACCGGAUAGUUCCUUGAACCGCAUGGUUCAAGGAUGAAAGACGGUUUCGGCUGUCACUUACAGAUGGACCCGCGGCGCAUUAGCUAGUUGGUGAGGUAACGGCUCACCAAGGCGACGAUGCGUAGCCGACCUGAGAGGGUGAUCGGCCACACUGGGACUGAGACACGGCCCAGACUCCUACGGGAGGCAGCAGUAGGGAAUCUUCCGCAAUGGACGAAAGUCUGACGGAGCAACGCCGCGUGAGUGAUGAAGGUUUUCGGAUCGUAAAGCUCUGUUGUUAGGGAAGAACAAGUGCAAGAGUAACUGCUUGCACCUUGACGGUACCUAACCAGAAAGCCACGGCUAACUACGUGCCAGCAGCCGCGGUAAUAC